rnacentral:misc_RNA from 1 species
AAAAAGCAGCAGCAACAAAACUACACUUCCCAGAAAGCUUAUUGGUCGUUGAUUUUGAAGCCAGUGGUGGUCGUGGAGGAGAUCAGCUGAGGGAAGGCCGGAGAAUGAGACUCCCAAUCAUAGCAAAGGCUUUACAGAACCGAAAUAGAAAUCAACUUCCACCACCGCUACUCUUCUCCGCGUUUUCACGCUCUUUCUCGCAGUUUCUCUCACAGUCUCAGCUACCUUCUUUUGGCAUCGCGUUUGAUAUCGAUGGCGUCCUUCUUCGAGGCGAAUCUCCCAUCGGCGGCUCUCCUCAAGCGCUCAAACGAUUAUACGAUUCCUCCGGUGCUUUGAGGAUUCCUUACAUUUUCUUGACCAAUGGAGGUGGUUUUCCCGAAUCUAAAAGAGCCUUGGAGUUGAGCAAACUUCUAGGUGUGGAUAUUUCACCAUUGCAGGUUGUACAGGGCCAUACACCUUUUAAACAGCUGGUGAAUAGGCUGUUUGCAUAAGAGGAGGAAUUCUGGAUUCUUUCUGUGAUGAACAUCAUGCCCCCAGGUUCAUUGAAUCUAUGACUAUGAAUUGCCUCCCCUUGGCCAAAACCUCGUAUCCUUUGUUUUAACUCGACCUGAACAUCUAGGCCAAUUUAUUUGCUAAUAUGUUGCGCUUUAUUCCUAGACUGCACACUCCUAUUGAAUAACCAAAGUCUAGAAUAUCCUAUCUCAUACUAAUUAUUAGUAUGGAUAAGUGGAUUUUCAGUCAGGAAAUCAAUGUGCAUAAUAAAUGGCAUGAGGAAAAGUGUAUGCAUCAGCCUGCGCAUCCCACAGGCAUUGCAUGGGGAUAUGUUGAAAUGCUGUAAUACAAUAAAAUAUGUGAUGUGGAUGAUUUGAGAAUGAAUUUGUUGUUGCUGUGGGAAAAGGAGAACCUGCUGCUGUGAUGGCUGAAUAUGGAUUUAAAAAUGUUCUCUCAAUUGAUGAGUAUGCAUCUUAUUUUGAUGGCAUUGAUCCACUUGCACAAUAUAAGACAUGGACAACUAAGCAGGAUGCUAAACAGAGUAGUACUUUAGAGCAGAUGAGGACAAGAGACAGUGUCCACUCACAGAGAGUUCAGGCGACAUUUAUUGUCAGUGAUUCUGUUGACUGGAGCAGAGACAUUCAGGUUCUGUGCGACAUUUUAAGAACUGGAGGUCUUCCUGGAAGGGAGAUAGGACACCAACCACACCUGUAUUUUGCAAAUGAUGACCUUGCAUACCAGGCUACUUUUCCUUCAGAACGCCUUGGCAUGGGAGCUUUCCGAAUUGCAUUAGAAUCUGUCUUCAAUAGUAUUCACCCUAAUGCUCUGGAGUAUACAUCUUUUGGAAAGCCAAAUCCAUUUGUAUUCAGGAAUGCUGAAACUGUCCUAAAGCAACUUGUUCCAUCAAUUCAUUGUGGCACCAAUCCUGUGGAUCAUGUGAAUGCUGGAACUCAUCAUUUCAAGAAACUAUAUAUGAUAGGAGAUAAUCCUUCAGUUGAUAUUAGAGGUGCACGACAGGCUGGACAUCCCUGGUUUUCAAUCUUGACAAGGACAGGAGUUUUCAAGGGAACAGAAAAUCACACUGAGUUUCCAGCAGAUUUGGUAGGCAACUGGGAAAUUGUUAAAAUGAGUCCACGUCAAAUUUCAUUUAUUUUAACUGACACCUUGCAGAAAUCUCUCUUGGUUUUAUUCUUUUUUAUGAAUAUGAAAAUGAAAAAGGCCUUUAUUUUUUGUUUGAAGAGGGAGGGGGUCAGGGUUGGAGUUCUUACCAUAUUUUCUCCCCCUUUAUCAAGGGAUGGAGUGGAGGGAUUUCAAUUGAAACCCUAAUUGUUUGCACUGCAACUUGGGCACUGGAUUAUUGUUGAGCCAAUCGCCCAAUAGCCUGCAUAUCUUGGCUGUAGUUCUACUUGCAUCACCAUGGAGAGUCCAACCUCUCCAAUCGUUGGCUGGUGGGUAGAUCAUUACUUUGAGUAGUUUCAAUAUUUGACCUUGACUUGAUUCACAAUUAAUAUUUGUUAACAGAUUAUCUGUUUUGGAAGUUUAAGAGAUUUAACUGUAAAUGGUCAUGGCAAUUUUGUUGGGCUGUGAAACAUAUACUGAAAAAUAAACAAGAAAAUUUCGGAUCACAUAUCCUUGCACCAAAUGUACCUGAGUUUUGGGCUGAUUGCUCCUUUUGCAGGUUGUUAACGCCGUGGAAGACGCUGUGGAGUAUGUUCUGAGUAAGGAGCGUAGGCAUUCAUUUGUUUGACGUAGGCAUUCAUUUUCACACAAAAAAAAAGGGGAGCAUGGAGGGUAGAGCCUGGUAAUGUCAUCUGUUUGAAUAAAGGAUGACCCUUUCUUGCUAGGUUUAAGCUCAAUUAAUUGUUUACCUCAUGCAUAUAUAUUAGUUUUUAAUGCCAUUAAUAUGCGACUGGUAUACUGUAUUUGCUAGUUGGUAGGUGAAGCUGAAUGUGGCUAGUAGAGUCCAUAUAAAGUGCAUGACCGCAUGUGCUUCACUUUUUGGCUUUUAGCUUACAUGAAAAAUUGCUUAAGACAUGAAGGAAAUCAGCAUUGUUACAAAUAUUGAAUAAACCAUAUGGCAACAAAACUUUAGCUUGUUUCAUAUCAGUUUCGCAUGUUAAUUCAGAUCAUCAGUAAACCUGAACCGACAGAUUGAACGAGAAGAUAAUAUCGGUCGGCCGACUCAAUCUGGUCUUUCUUGAUGGCCGCACGUCCCAUAAUGGCUGACAGCUAUUUAUUUUGUUACUUAUACGGCUAUGCCUAGUGUCAAAGUACCGAUUCAAGAGAAAAACAGAGAAGAUUGAGCAGAGCAUAAGGUUUACAGCUUCUUCUCAACUCACUUUUGAAUAUUUCAGAGUUCAGUUUGCCUAGAAAACUGAAAUGUUUUGCUUUUUAGUAAUUACAACAUUGUAUUUGUUCCACACACUUCAUGAAAUGAACAACCAUGCGUAAAGCAGGAAUAUUUUGGCAACCUUCCUCUGGUCCUUGAGAUUUAGAAUUUUAAAACUUGUUUAGGUUGGCUUCCUAGUUUUCCAAGUGCCUUGUCCAAAGCUGUGUGAAAUUUGUCAAACGGAACCAGCUCCAUCUCGUAUUUCAACUUCCCUUCUCGUGCAAGACACAAAAGAUAAUCUAUCAUAUUUCUACAAUCUUUUGCUUUUUCUGAAGUCAUCCAUUUUUGCAACCAGAAUCCCCUCAAGGAAAGAUCCUGCCAACCAACAAACAAACAAACAGAGGCUAAGGACAGAAGCAGGUAAUUAUAAACAAAUACCUGUGAAUUUGGAAGGAAUCACAAUUCAGAUUGGACAUGUGAUACUAAUGACUAUAGUUAUAUAACACUUUUAAGGCAUAAAAGCACUUGUGUUUCAACAAACCCACAGUGAAACCAAACCGUUCCACAGGUAAAGAAAAUUGAGAUCUUGUAAUUCCAAGUGAUUCAGCUUCAAGCAUAAGUAGAUAUUUAAGUCAUCUUGACCAUUCUCUAGAAAUUCUACUAGUUGGAAAACGGCAUCAAGUAGGGACCAAUAAUAAGCAAUGCAAAAUUUCAUAUUCAUUAUGUCAGUUCCUUCUACAAUUUCUAUCUAGUUCACAUUAUAAAUCACUAAACAAAACUCGAUCCAUAAUUCAGUUGUGUUUGUCAACUUUUGACCACUUUCUCGGCUGGUACUUAUUUUGUUUUGCAUGGAACACAAGCAUCUUAAAUGCAUGAUGCAAGAAUUUUAGACAGGUGUGCUGGCCUAAUUUUAAAUAACCACCACCUCCAUAUCAACGCGCUGCGACAAGAAAUGAAUUAAUCUUUACCUUAAAAAUGAAGGAUGAUGUUGAUACUGUUACAGGUUUCUUAGACAUUCCACCAUACGUUACCAUUGUUCCUCCCUGCCUUAAGAAUUUGAGAACCAAAGAAGCAGAAUUGCCACCAACACAGUUGAAUCCCAAAGAAGGUUCUGGUAUAUUAGUCAGGAGACCCUUGACAUUUUUCACUUCCAGUUGGCUCUCAGUAAACACUUCAUCAGCACCUAGUUUUUUUAACAUUUCCCUUGCUUCAUCUGACCCGGGCCUGUCCCUUAAAAUAUUAAUGCUAUGGAUGCCACGAAAUUUUGCAAUCUGGAUGACACACUGUCCUACAAUACUUGUAGCCCCAUUUUGCACGAUAGAAUCUCCUGAAUUUAGAGUAGUGAAGUCUUCGAGCAUUCUUAAAGCAGUCAAAGGAUUAACAGUGAUUGUGGCUGCAUAUUCCAUGGGUGAAUCUUUAUUGAUUUUGUGCCAGACAUUCUGAUCUUGUACAAUGUAAGUCUGCCAUGUUCCAAAAGAUGGUGGAGAUGGAAUGACCCGAUCACCAGGCGAAAGAUCCUUAACUGCAGAGCCUACAGAAUGCACCUCCCCUACACCCUCAUAUCCUCCAACUGCAGGCACUGGAGGCCUCACAGGAUACACUCCUUCUAUUCGAUUGAUAUCAGAGGGAUUAAUAGGAGCAGCCAGCAUUUUAACGCACACAUCGUUAGCUUUCAUUUCCACUGGUGGUAUCUCUACUACUCUGGUGACCGAGUCCGGGUUCCCGUGCUGAUCGUAGACGAUGGCCUUGGACGGCGGCGAUAAGAGGGCGGAGAAUGCCCUGAUGAUUUGGGCAUGAGCCCGAGGAAUGUGGGCCGGCCUGAGAUUGAAGAGAAACGAUAAGGAUGGCCCACCGAUAGCUUUCAUGGCUGUUGCUCUCAUCGUCAUCAUCGUCUUCACCGAAGCCAUUUCUAUCUCCCGCUACUCUUUCGCCUGAACUCAAAAUCAG